rnacentral:rRNA from 1 species
CAUUAUUGAUUGCGAAUCGUUGCCUUCAGUGCUGGCCUGGCUUCGGCUUUGGCAAGUGCACGCUGGUGACUUUCAUCCAAUACCCUGUGAACCUUUGGCCUCUUGCUAGCUUCGGCCGGCAGAGGAUUUUACACACACUCGAAUGUAAUGAAAUUUAUUGUCGUGCGCAAGCACUAAUGUACAACUUUCAACAACGGAUCUCUUGGCUCUCGCAUCGAUGAAGAACGCAGCGAAAUGCGAUAAGUAAUGUGAAUUGCAGAAUUCAGUGAAUCAUCGAAUCUUUGAACGCACCUUGCACCCUUUGGCAUUCCGAAGGGUAUGCUCGUUUGAGUGUCAUUGUACUCUCACACUCUCAAUGCUUUUGGAUUGGGAGCGGUGGACUUGGGUGUUGCUGCUUUGCUGUGGCUCGCCUCAAAUGGAGUAGUGCAACUCUUGGUUGGACAUAGUACGGCGUGAUAAGUGUCUUCGCCGGCGCCUCACUAGAGGGUGGCCGAUCAGGAGCUCUGUGCUUCAAACCGUCUUCGGACAAUCUCUGACAACUUGACCUCAAAUCGAGUAGGACUACCCGCUGAACUUAAGCAUAUCAAUA